GGAGAGAUGGAUGAGUGGCUGAAGUCAACGGUUUGCUAAACCGUCGUAGUGUUUAGGCGCUACCGCGGGUUCGAAUCCCGCUCUCUCCG
rnacentral:tRNA from 1 species